CAGUCGCCACGGGAAUACGAAGGGGGCUAGCGUUGCUCGGAAUCACUGGGCGUAAAGGGUGCGUAGGCGGGUUAUUAAGUCAGAGGUGAAAUCCUGGAGCUCAACUCCAGAACUGCCUUUGAUACUGAUAGUCCUGAGUAUGGGAGAGGUGAGUGGAACUGCGAGUGUAGAGGUGAAAUUCGUAGAUAUUCGCAAGAACACCAGUGGCGAAGGCGGCACACUGGCCCAUAACUGACGCUGAGGCACGAAAGCGUGGGGAGCAAACAGGAUUAGAUACCCGCGUAGUCCCUGUCUCUUAUAC
rnacentral:rRNA from 1 species